GAUGAACGCUGGCGGCGUGCCUAAUACAUGCAAGUCGAGCGAAUGGAUUAAGAGCUUGCUCUUAUGAAGUUAGCGGCGGACGGGUGAGUAACACGUGGGUAACCUGCCCAUAAGACUGGGAUAACUCCGGGAAACCGGGGCUAAUACCGGAUAACAUUUUGAACCGCAUGGUUCGAAAUUGAAAGGCGGCUUCGGCUGUGACUUAUGGAUGGACCCGGGUCGCAUUAGCUAGUUGGUGAGGUAACGGCUCACCAAGGCAACGAUGCGUAGCCGACCUGAGAGGGUGAUCGGCCACACUGGGACUGAGACACGGCCCAGACUCCUAUGGGAGGCAGCAGUAGGGAAUCUUCCGCAAUGGACGAAAGUCUGACGGAGCAACGCCGCGUGAGUGAUGAAGGCUUUCGGGUCGUAAAACCCUGUUGUUAGGGAAGAACAAGUGCUAGUUGAAUAAGCUGGCACCUUGACGGUACCUAACCAGAAAGCCACGGCUAACUACGUGCCAGCAGCCGCCGUAA
rnacentral:rRNA from 1 species